rnacentral:misc_RNA from 1 species
AACCUUAUGGACCUGCGGGCGUAUACCUGCGGAAGGAUCAUUAACACGUAUUUAUCCACAAUACCUUAUCCACCCCUUUUGGUUGAACUUGUUUAUUGUUUGUUUAUAAAAGUCCUCACCGCACUGAGCUCCUUUGUUUAGUAUGUUUUCCUUUUUAGCUCACUCAGUCCGCGGACUUUUGAGGAGUACCAACUCCUGUUUUCUAGUGAUAAUCUCUGAGUGAAACAAAACACAAAGUGA